rnacentral:rRNA from 1 species
AUUGAACGCUGGCGGCAGGCCUAACACAUGCAAGUCGAGCGAGCGGCGGACGUGAGGGCAAUGUAUGGGGAUCUGCGCGAUAGAGGGGGAUAACUACUGGGAACGAAUGCUACUACCGCAUAGUAGAGGAUGAACCCAUAUGGGAUUAGCUAGUAGGUGGGGUAAAGGCUCACCUAGGCGACGAUCUCUAGCUGGUCUGAGAGGAUGAUCAGCCACACUGGAACUGAGACACGGUCCAGACUCCUACGGGAGGCAGCAGUGGGGAAUAUUGCACAAUGGGCGAAAGCCUGAUGCAGCCAUGCCGCGUGUAUGAAGAAGGCCUUCGGAUUGUAAAGUACUUUCAGCGGGGAGGCGUUACCAGCAGAAGAAGCACCGGCUAACUCCGUGCCAGCAGCCGCGGUAAUUC